rnacentral:lncRNA from 1 species
CUUGCGGCGUUACUUGCACGAGGCCUCGCCGUUCCGUUGCCAAAAGCCAUCAGCUGCCACGAGCGAUGUCACCUCCCGAUUUUGCCCCCAACAACCAAUGGCAUUCGGAACAUACUGAGUUUAGCCCCAUGUGCACGGCACCUUGCGGCGCUACUUGCACGAGGCUCGCCGUUCCGUUGCCAAAAGCCAUUAGCCGCCACGAGCGAUGUCACCUCCCGAUGUUGCCCGCAACAAUCGAUGGCAAUCGGAACGUACUAAACUCAGCCCCAUGCACACGGCACCUUGCGGCGCUACUUGCACGAGGCCUCGCCGUUCCGUUGCCAAAAGCCAUCAGCCGUCACGAGCGAUGUCGCCUCCCGAUGUUGCUCGCAACAAUCGAUGGCAAUCGGAACGUACUGAGCUUAGCCCCAUGCGCACGGCACCUUGCGGCGCUACUUGCACGAGGCCUCGCCGUUCCGUUGCCAAAAGCCAUCAGCCACCACAAGCGAUGCCAGACACAACUCACAACAACCGAUGGCAAUCGAAACGUACUGAGUUUAGCCCCAUGCGCACGGCACAACAUGAGGAAAGAUUAUAUGAGUGCAAUAGCAAAAGGAAGUUCAAAAUUUACGUCCGUUGGUAAUAGGUCAAAUCUAAGUGUGACGUUCUCGUAUUCUCUUGGAUCCCCUUAUUUGUAAUCAGGCUCAGACACUACAUACAACUAUUAAGUAGAGAUAACCAUCUUGAAAAGGUCAAAGACUUGUUAGAAAGGGUAGAGAACAAUUAAAAUGUACGGUGGUAACAAAUGUUGAGUUGGGACAAAAGCAAGUUACUACUUGUUUGAAUUGUCAGGCUUUGGAACUCUUAAUCAAACUCGUUGCAGGUUGAAUAUUAUUUAUUCAAAACUUAGUGUUCAGAAACCCUUCGACAGGUCUAGAGAUCAUUAAUUGAAGGAACUCAGAUGAAGCAGGCUACAUGAGAAGCAACGAAACAGUAAAUAAUUAUCUACAA